rnacentral:rRNA from 1 species
UAGGGAAUAUUGGUCAAUGGGCGGAAGCCUGAACCAGCCAUGCCGCGUGCAGGAAGACGGCCUUCUGGGUUGUAAACUGCUUUUACCAGGGAACAAAUAGGCCAUGCGUGGCAAGUUGAGUGUACCUGGGGAAUAAGCACCGGCUAACUCCGUGCCAGCAGCCGCGGUAAUACGGAGGAUGCAAGCGUUAUUCGGAAUUAUUGGGCGUAAAGCGUCCGCAGGUGGUGCCUCAAGUCUGCUGUCAAAGACCGAAGCUCAACUUCGGGCAGGCAGUGGAAACUGAAGCACUAGAGUACGGUAGGGGUAGAGGGAAUUUCCAGUGUAGCGGUGAAAUGCGUAGAGAUUGGAAAGAACACCAGUGGCGAAGGCGCUCUACUGGACCGUAACUGACACUCAGGGACGAAAGCUAGGGGAGCGAAAGGGAUUAGAUACCCCCGUAGUCC